GGGAUCCAGCGUUCCAGGCUUUGGCUACGACCGAGUAGGGACUAGGGGCGGAGGGAGUCGGGAGCGGAGGGCUGGGGUGACCGGCCCUACGUGCCGUGGGCCUGACUGAGAUUCUGCGUCGUGACGAGGAACGGGUCUGGCUGGACCUAAUUAUAUUAUUAUCGAUUUAAAAUCGGCUUCCCGUGAUCGAACGUGACUUGGGAAAGAGGUGGUACUUCGUGAACAAGAAAGACACUGACAGUAUUUCCCCAGGGAUGAGAUCACUGAAAAAUGGAAGCUGCCUCCUGAAUUUGAUAGAAGAAUGAAGAAUCCAAGCUCGUUUCUAGAUCCAUCUCUGCCAUAAACCAGCUUUUUGACCUUUAUCACCUCCCCUCUCUGAUCUGAGUUUUCACAAUAGUCAUUCAACAAGUAUAUGUUGAGCACCUACAAAGUGGUAACAAUGUUUUAGAUGUUGAGAAUAAAGCAGUGAAUGAAACAAAAAUGCAGGGUCUGUUCCUAAACUUCCUAA